CUGGCGGAUUUGAUGCCACGGC
rnacentral:miRNA from 3 species